rnacentral:rRNA from 1 species
ACGGCAGCGCGGGGCAACCUGGCGGCGAGUGGCGAACGGGUGAGUAAUAUAUCGGAACGUACCCUGGAGUGGGGGAUAACGUAGCGAAAGUUACGCUAAUACCGCAUACGAUCUAAGGAUGAAAGUGGGGGAUCGCAAGACCUCAUGCUCCUGGAGCGGCCGAUAUCUGAUUAGCUAGUUGGUAGGGUAAAAGCCUACCAAGGCAUCGAUCAGUAGCUGGUCUGAGAGGACGACCAGCCACACUGGAACUGAGACACGGUCCAGACUCCUACGGGAGGCAGCAGUGGGGAAUUUUGGACAAUGGGCGAAAGCCUGAUCCAGCAAUGCCGCGUGAGUGAAGAAGGCCUUCGGGUUGUAAAGCUCUUUUGUCAGGGAAGAAACGGUGAGGGCUAAUAUCGCUUGCUAAUGACGGUACCUGAAGAAUAAGCACCGGCUAACUACGUGCCAGCAGCCGCGGUAAUACGUAGGGUGCAAGCGUUAAUCGGAAUUACUGGGCGUAAAGCGUGCGCAGGCGGUUUUGUAAGUCUGUCGUGAAAUCCCCGGGCUCAACCUGGGAAUGGCGAUGGAGACUGCAAGGCUAGAGUUUGGCAGAGGGGGGUAGAAUUCCACGUGUAGCA